CAGGAGCAGCUUCAGUUAGGUUUUGAGUUGGACACCCCAAGACAUGCUUUUUCUCAUGGAAAACAUCUCUCCAGAGCAGCAAGAGCCAGGGACAGCCUCCAGACUCCCCUCUUCUGCUGAAGCCCAGGUCCCAGGGAUGCUGCAGUGGCUAGGGUGACAGAUGCAGAACAGCAAACCUACAGAACAGGGUGGGGCUAUAACAGGGCCGGCGGACCCAAAGGAGGGCCGCUGAAUAGAUGUGGGGCAACAGAGGAGGUCUCCUGGGGAAAGGGACAUAAAAACUGAGACAUGAAGGAGGAAGUAGCGGGGUUGCAAGCCUAAGGUAAAAGAAUCGUCGGAGGGAAUGGCAGGGGUUCAAGGUGACUGGAACAGCAUGUGUGUGUGUGUGCAUGCGUGUGUGCGUGCAUUCAUGAGAGUGUGUAUGUAUGUGUGUGUGUAUAAGAGUAUGUGUGUGGGAGUGUGAGAGUGUGUGUGUAGGAUCAUGAAUCUCAGCAUGGGACUGGCUAACAUGGCACUCUCAAAGUCAGGCGAGAGCUUGGCAAGGCCCAUUCCCAGGAGGCCCUGCCCUUGGCUGCCUCUCUUUCCUGGGUUCCUAGACAAACAAGAGUGCCCAUUGCCUUAUUUCCACCUCUGCAACCGGUGUCCAGUUCCUCUCCCAUCUCUCCCCUCCCAUGCUGGAAGCCCAACUCCCUGCCCACAAACUUAUUUCUUGCCCUUUUCUCCGUGUUCCGGGGGAACCUCUGCCCCCUCCCUGCAAAUCUGCUGGCUCUUUAGAUGCUGCCCUGGGAAAUAAAGGCAGAACAGGCCUCU
rnacentral:lncRNA from 1 species